UACGGAGGGAGCAAGCGUUACUCGGAAUUAUUGGGCGUAAAGGGCGCGUAGGCGAUCUGAAAAGUUCUGUGUGAAAGCCCACAUGUUAACUGUGGAAGUGCACAGAAAACUGUUGGAUUUGAGUUCAGGAGAGGAAGGCAGAAUUCCCGGUGUAGCGGUGAAAUGCGUAGAUAUCGAGAGGAACACCUGCGGCGAAGGCGGGUUGCUGGGCUGACACUGACGCUGACAGCGCGAAAGCUAGGGGAGCGAACGGG
rnacentral:rRNA from 1 species